rnacentral:lncRNA from 1 species
UCUGUAGCAAGUCAGGAAUAUGGCAAUUAUUAUCUAAUACGUUGUAGUUCGUUUCUAUGUAUUUUGCAUUGUCGUUUGUUUUUCGUUGCACUUCAGUGUUUCUGUAGUUUCGUUGUUUUCCUUUUUAUAUUUGAUGUGUUUCCCUCGUUUGUUCCCUAUAUUUUUUUUCUAUGAAUCGAUUUAUGACUUUUGAACAGCGGUUGCCUGCUGUACCCAUAUUUUGACUAUUUUGUUUAUUGUGUGUGUUAAGUUAACGCAUCAGUG